rnacentral:rRNA from 1 species
AUGAACGCUAGCUACAGGCUUAACACAUGCAAGUCGAGGGGCAGCAUGGUCUUAGCUUGCUAAGGCCGAUGGCGACCGGCGCACGGGUGAGUAACACGUAUCCAACCUGCCGUCUACUCUUGGACAGCCUUCUGAAAGGAAGAUUAAUACAAGAUGGCAUCAUGAGUCCGCAUGUUCACAUGAUUAAAGGUAUUCCGGUAGACGAUGGGGAUGCGUUCCAUUAGAUAGUAGGCGGGGUAACGGCCCACCUAGUCUUCGAUGGAUAGGGGUUCUGAGAGGAAGGUCCCCCACAUUGGAACUGAGACACGGUCCAAACUCCUACGGGAGGCAGCAGUGAGGAAUAUUGGUCAAUGGGCGAGAGCCUGAACCAGCCAAGUAGCGUGAAGGAUGACUGCCCUAUGGGUUGUAAACUUCUUUUAUAAAGGAAUAAAGUCGGGUAUGGAUACCCGUUUGCAUGUACUUUAUGAAUAAGGAUCGGCUAACUCCGUGCCAGCAGCCGCGGUAAUACGGAGGAUCCGAGCGUUAUCCGGAUUUAUUGGGUUUAAAGGGAGCGUAGAUGGAUGUUUAAGUCAGUUGUGAAAGUUUGCGGCUCAACCGUAAAAUUGCAGUUGAUACUGGAUAUCUUGAGUGCAGUUGAGGCAGGCGGAAUUCGUGGUGUAGCGGUGAAAUGCUUAGAUAUCACGAAGAACUCCGAUUGCGAAGGCAGCCUGCUAAGCUGCAACUGACAUUGAGGCUCGAAAGUGUGGGUAUCAAACAGGAUUAGAUACCCUGGUAGUCCACACGGUAAACGAUGAAUACUCGCUGUUUGCGAUAUACAGUAAGCGGCCAAGCGAAAGCGUUAAGUAUUCCACCUGGGGAGUACGCCGGCAACGGUGAAACUCAAAGGAAUUGACGGGGGCCCGCACAAGCGGAGGAACAUGUGGUUUAAUUCGAUGAUACGCGAGGAACCUUACCCGGGCUUAAAUUGCAGAUGAAUUACGGUGAAAGCCGUAAGCCGCAAGGCAUCUGUGAAGGUGCUGCAUGGUUGUCGUCAGCUCGUGCCGUGAGGUGUCGGCUUAAGUGCCAUAACGAGCGCAACCCUUGUUGUCAGUUACUAACAGGUUCUGCUGAGGACUCUGACAAGACUGCCAUCGUAAGAUGUGAGGAAGGUGGGGAUGACGUCAAAUCAGCACGGCCCUUACGUCCGGGGCUACACACGUGUUACAAUGGGGGGUACAGAGGGCCGCUACCACGCGAGUGGAUGCCAAUCCCAAAAACCUCUCUCAGUUCGGACUGGAGUCUGCAACCCGACUCCACGAAGCUGGAUUCGCUAGUAAUCGCGCAUCAGCCACGGCGCGGUGAAUACGUUCCCGGGCCUUGUACACACCGCCCGUCAAGCCAUGGGAGCCGGGGGUACCUGAAGUGCGUAACCGCGAGGAGCGCCCUAGGGUAAAACUGGUGACUGGGGCU